GUGUGUGUGUAUGUGUGUGUGUGUGUGCACGCGCAUGCACACACACACACACACACACACACCCAUACACACACACACACAC
rnacentral:miRNA from 1 species